rnacentral:rRNA from 1 species
UAAGGGAACUCCGAGUGCCAGUAUCUAAUACUGGCUGUCCUUGUGCCUAAAACGCACAAGAUAGCAAGGGCCGGGUAAGACCGGUGCCAGCCGCCGCGGUAACACCGGCGGCCCGAGUGGUAGCCGCUAUUAUUGGGUCUAAAGGGUCCGUAGCCGGUUCGAUAAGUCCUCUGGGAAAUCUGGUUGCUUAACAAUCAGACUGCCAAGGGAUACUGUCGAACUUGAGACCGGGAGAGGUAAGAGGUACUUCAGGGGUAGGAGUGAAAUCUUGUAAUCCCUGGGGGACCAUCUGUGGCGAAGGCGUCUUACCAGAACGGGUCUGACGGUGAGGGACGAAAGCUGGGGGCGCAAACCGGAUUAGAUACCCGGGUAGUCCCAGCCGUAAACGAUGCUCGCUAUGUGUCAGGUACGGUGUGACCGUAUCUGGUGCCGUAGGGAAGCCGUGAAGCGAGCCACCUGGAAGUACGUCGCAAGAC